GGCUCCACGUCAAAUAGUGCCGUCGCCGCCCCCCCCCUCGCAGGAGGGCUCCCCGCGCCCCCGGCCUGAGCCCCGCGCGGCCCCUGGCCCCGAACGCGGACCCCUGCAACCCAGCUGGCCGGGCCGCCCCGCUGGCCUCUUGCCGAAGUUUUGGUCGCCUUCGAAACCAGUUCUCUGCCCCACCCCCUUGAAAAAUUGAUCUGGGAGUUGGAGAACGAAGGCUUUCUUGUUUCCUUCUUACUGUCUUUCUUACUAAUAUUUUGUAAAGCUUCGGCGCUCGGAGGAGUAGCCCCGAGUGAGGCCUCACUGCACGAACGGCGGGCUGUUCAGCGGCUUCUCCAGGGGACGGCGCCGGCCGGGGCAGUCGCCCGGGCCCAGGUCUCCUCAUCACUCUCCGCGGCCUCCCCACUCCCCGCAGGCCCUGUUCCUUGCCCUUUGUCCGCGCUGCCCGGGUCCCCCGUUCUCUGAGCGAGCGGACUUGGCGUCCCGGGUCCUUCGCACACAGCCAUGCAGAGGUCUUUUCUGGGCACCAUCAAAGCUCCUGCACCUCCUCACCGCUGGCCCUGUCGAAGAAUAAGCGACUGGACGGGAGGACAGGGGCCCAGGCUUCCUCAGGCCCGACCUGAGCCGAGAAUGCUGGAGACCCACGACGCCGGCCGCUGCUGCGCCGGCGCCUUCCGACCCGGGAUUCUUCGUGGCUUGGCAGCGGAAAGAGGUCGGGAUGAUCUCCAGAUAAAUUACAUGAUAAAUCAUGAUUGCCAAGACUUGGAAGCAACCUAGAUGUCCUUUAAUAGGUGAUUGUAUACCCAACUGUGGUACAUCCAUACAAUGGAAUAUUAUUCAACUAUGAAAAAUAUUACACGGCACAAUCCACAGUAGCUAAGAUAUGGAACCAGCCUAGGUACCCAUCAACAGAUGAAAGAAUGAAGAAAGUGUAGUAAUACACACAAUGGAGUAUUAUUGAGCCUCAAGGAAGAACAAAAUUCUGUCAUUUACAAGAAAAUGGAUGGAACUGGAGAUCAUCAUGUUGACUCAAAUAAGCCAGACUCAGGAAGACAAAUAUUUCAUGUUUUCUCUAAUACGUGGAAUCUAAAAAAGAUGACAAGAAAGCAAAAGGAAGACUAUUAUUAUACAAGUGGAAGGGAAUACAGGGGAGGUGGGUAUAAGGGUGAGUAAUAAAGAAAAUGGAUAUGAACAAAAUGUAAUACAUAUUGAAACCCCUCAGAAAUGUGAGACUGAAGCAAAGGUGUGAAGGGGCAAAAGUGAUCGAGUAUGUUAUGUGCAUGUACGGAUCUGCCAAAAUGAAACCAUUAAUCUGUACACCCAGUUGAAAAAAAGAGAGAACAAAGAGAAGUGAUCUUAACUGCAUAUUUCUGGGUGAAAGAAGCAUAUCUGUAGGAUUCAAGUUCUAGAAAAGCCAAAACUCUGAAGACAGUAGAAAGAUCAGAGGUUGUCAGAUGUUGGAAGGAGGGAGGGUUUAUUCCACCUACUGCUUAGAGUCUGGGGCCUUUUGAGAACAGUGAAACUAUUCUAUGUGACACGACAGUAGUCCUCCUUGAUCUACAGUUUUGUUUCUCCCAGUUUUCAUUACUCAUGGUCAACUCUGGUCCAAAAAUAUUAAAUGGAAAAGUCCCCACAUAAACAAUUCACAAGCUUUAAGUCACACUCCGUUUCGAGUAGCAGGAUGAAAUCUUGGAGUGUCUCACUUUGUGCUGCCUGGAACAGGAAUGGUCCUUUUGACUCGUGUAUCCGUGCUGAAGAUGCUACCCACCCGUCAGUCACUUAGUAGCGGUCCUGGUUAUCAGCGGGACUGUGGCGAUGUUGCAGCAGUUGUGUUUAAGCAGCUGUGUGUCAUAAUGCCUAUGUCAGUCACUUCAGGUCUCAUCAUACAGGCAUUGUGUCAGCCCAGGUCACUGUGGGAAGGGUGAGUGCAGUAUAAUAAGGGAGGGAAGGUGGGGGGAAGGGGAUAUAAACAGAAUUGACAUGUUCUGUACAUGUACCAGCUCCCUACAAAUCAUUGUGCACUGCGAAGA